rnacentral:rRNA from 1 species
GAUGAACGCUGGCGGCGUGCCUUAAGCAUGCAAGUCGAACGGCAGCACAGGAGAGCUUGCUCUCUGGGUGGCGAGUGGCGGACGGGUGAGGAAUACAUCGGAAUCUACUCUGUCGUGGGGGAUAACGUAGGGAAACUUACGCUAAUACCGCAUACGACCUACGGGUGAAAGCAGGGGACCUUCGGGCCUUGCGCGAUUGAAUGAGCCGAUGUCGGAUUAGCUAGUUGGCGGGGUAAAGGCCAACCAAGGCGACGAUCCGUAGCUGGUCUGAGAGGAUGAUCAGCCACACUGGAACUGAGACACGGUCCAGACUCCUACGGGAGGCAGCAGUGGGGAAUAUUGGACAAUGGGCGCAAGCCUGAUCCAGCCAUACCGCGUGGGUGAAGAAGGCCUUCGGGUUGUAAAGCCCUUUUGUUGGGAAAGAAAUCCAGCUGGCUAAUACCCGGUUGGGAUGACGGUACCCAAAGAAUAAGCACCGGCUAACUUCGUGCCAGCCGCCGCGGUAA